CAGCAGCCGCGGUAAAACGAAGGGGGCUAGCGUUGCUCGGAAUGACUGGGCGUAAAGGGCGCGUAGGCGGUUUGCACAGCCGGGUGUGAAAUUCCUGGGCUUAACCUGGGGGCUGCAUUCGAGACGUGUAGGCUUGAGUGGGGAAGAGGGUCGUGGAAUUCCCAGUGUAGAGGUGAAAUUCGUAGAUAUUGGGAAGAACACCGGUGGCGAAGGCGGCGACCUGGUCCUUUACUGACGCUGAGGCGCGAAGGCGUGGGGAGCAAACAGGAUUAGAUACCCCCGUAGUCCCUGUCUCUUAUAC
rnacentral:rRNA from 1 species